rnacentral:rRNA from 1 species
GAUGAACGCUGGCGGCGUGCCUAAUACAUGCAAGUCGAGCGAACAGACGAGGAGCUUGCUCCUCUGACGUUAGCGGCGGACGGGUGAGUAACACGUGGAUAACCUACCUAUAAGACUGGGAUAACUUCGGGAAACCGGAGCUAAUACCGGAUAAUAUAUUGAACCGCAUGGUUCAAUAGUGAAAGACGGUUUUGCUGUCACUUAUAGAUGGAUCCGCGCCGCAUUAGCUAGUUGGUAAGGUAACGGCUUACCAAGGCAACGAUGCGUAGCCGACCUGAGAGGGGGAUCGGCCACACUGGAACGGAGACACGGUCCAGACGACUAAGGGAGGCAGCAGUAGGGAAUCUUCCGCAAUGGGCGAAAGCCUGACGGAGCAACGCCGAGUGAGUGAUGAAGGUCUUCGGAGCGUAAAACUCGGUUAUGAGGGAAGAACAAAUGUGGAAGUAACUAUGCACGGCUUGACGGUACCUAAUCAGAAAGCCACGGCUAACUACGUG